rnacentral:lncRNA from 10 species
AGAUGUUCCCAGGACGCGAGCUAAGUCUGCCCGGCCGGCGCGCGCCGCUUCCGCUUUGGUGGGAAGGACCUCCCUUCCCCCUUAUAGAAACACUUUCUCCAGGCCGGGCCGGGCUUGGUAAACCUCAGCCGUGCCUGGGUAGAGGACGCCGGGCUGGGCCGAGCGGGGGUGGAAUGAGGGCGUCUAGAACAGAGAAAACUAAGAUGGGGUCGUCCCCCCAGUAAUCUGGAAAACAGUUACAGCAACAGGCUCCUCUCAUCAGACGGCAGUGCUGGUCGUUUCCUCACUGGUUUGCGGGGAAGGCUGGGCAGAAAAAGGAUGCAACCUUGUUCUCAACCACUUGCUAUCUCGUGAUUCAGGGAUUGGAUGAGUCUCUAUGGUUUGUUUUGCCCUGAAGAGCAGAAGGCUUCUGUCCCAACUGGUGUUGCCAAAGCAACAUAUUAAUUCCAUGCCAUGAUCCUGGGUCAAGAUCUGCACAAUCUGAUUGGGCAUGUCACCUCGGAUGGCAAGGGAGUGGAAGUGGUCAAAAUCAUGGAGUCCCAGCUUUCGGAGACGCCUUGCAGCUGCCCGGUAACACUUCCAGGGUUGGGGCUCCACAAGGAGGUAGUGGCAGAGGGAGGAAAGAUGGGCCAGGAACUCCCAUAGGCCAUGGUCUCCAUGAUUCAGAUGAAUCCACAUGGUUAUUGACAUGCAGAAGCCAAUGUCAAAAACUGAACGUCCAAAUUGGCUUAAGAAAGAGCUCAAGAGAACCUUCCGGGUCCUUUGAUUCAUGAAGUCCAGGGUGAUAAAAGUCAAGGCAUCAGGAAAAGGACAUUCUUUUUCGGCUCGCUUCACCAGGACUGGAUCUAUGUCGCAGCAGAGGAGACGGAAUUCUCUUGAGGCAUCUGAGCAGGUUUCCCCGUCAGGUCCUGCUUUGACCUCAUUUUCAGAUGAAGAAACUGA